AACGAACGCUGGCGGCAGGCCUAACACAUGCAAGUCGAGCGCCCCGCAAGGGGAGCGGCGGACGGGUGAGUAACGCGUGGGAACGUGCCUCUUGCUACGGAAUAGCCUCGGGAAACUGGGAGUAAUACCGUAUGUGCCCUACGGGGGAAAGAUUUAUCGGCAAGAGAUCGGCCCGCGUUGGAUUAGGUAGUUGGUGGGGUAAUGGCCUACCAAGCCGACGAUCCAUAGCUGGUUUGAGAGGAUGAUCAGCCACACUGGGACUGAGACACGGCCCAGACUCCUACGGGAGGCAGCAGUGGGGAAUCUUAGACAAUGGGCGCAAGCCUGAUCUAGCCAUGCCGCGUGAGCGAUGAAGGCCUUAGGGUUGUAAAGCUCUUUCAGUGGGGAAGAUAAUGAACUGUACCCACAGAAGAAGCCCCGGCUAACUCCGUGCCAGCUAGCCGCGGUAAUAUAGCGUACU
rnacentral:rRNA from 1 species